UUUUCAACAUAGCUGAGUAAGCAAUGAAGCUGUUAAAUUCGGUAAAGCGACGACUGGAGGAAUUGUGGGACGGAACGUCUUCAACCNAUCNUCAGACUGUCAAUGAGUAUGACGUCUCGCUUGCUUGAAUGAAGCAUAGACAUUGAAUGUGUGCUCCAAAUGGGCCAUUUCUGGUAAGCAGAACUGACGCUGUCGGGAUGAACGG
rnacentral:ncRNA from 1 species